CCAUGCAUGUCUAAGUUCAAAUAAACCUAUAAUGGUGAAACCGCGAACGGCUCAUUAUAACAGCUAUAAUGUACUUGAUGUUGAUUAUCCAACGUGGAUAACUGUGGCAAUUCUAGAGCUAAUACAUGCACCAAAGCUCCGACUUUUGAACGAGCGCAUCUAUUAGAUUAAAACCAAUCGGGUUAUUAGCCCGUUAAUUGGUGACUCUGAAUAGCUAUGGCUGAUCGCAUGGUCUUGUACCGGCGACGUAUCUAUCAAGUGUCUGCCUUAUCAACUUUCGAUGGUAGUUUAUGUGCCUACCAUGGUUGUAACGGGUAACGGAGAAUAAGGGUUCGACUCCGGAGAGGGAGCCUGAGAAACGGCUACCACAUCCAAGGAAGGCAGCAGGCGCGCAAAUUACCCACUCUCAGAAUGAGGAGGUAGUGACGAAAAAUAACGAGACCGUUCUCUUUGAGGCCGGUUAUCGGAAUGGGUACAAUUUAAACCUGUUAACGAGGAUCUAUGAGAGGGCAAGUCUGGUGCCAGCAGCCGCGGUAAUUCCAGCUCUCAAAGUGUAUAUCGUCAUUGCUGCGGUUAAAAAGCUCGUAGUUGGAUCUGCGUCUCAGGACCUGGUCCAUCCAUUGGAUGAGAACUGGGCUCCUAGGCUAAUAUUGCCAGUUUUCCAUACGUUACCUUGAUUGGUUGCGUAUGGUGGCUAGCAAGUUUACCUUGAAAAAAUUAGAGUGCUCAAUGCGGGCUAAUGCCUGAAUACUCGUGCAUGGAAUAAUGAAAUAGGAUCUCGGUUCUAUUUUGUUGGUUUUCUGAUCUGAGAUAAUGGUUAAGAGGGACGGACGGGGGCAUUCGUAUCGCUGCGUGAGAGGUGAAAUUCUUGGACCGUAGCGA
rnacentral:rRNA from 1 species